AGCAGCCGCGGUAAUUCCAGCUCCAAUAGCGUAUAUUAAAGUUGUUGCAGUUAAAAAGCUCGUAGUUGAAUUUCGGGAUCGAAUUGUUGGUCGUGCUUCGGUACGUACUGGCAUUAUUGGUUCCUACCUUCUGAAGAACCGCGAUGUCAUUAAUUUGGUGUCGUGGGGAAUCAGGACUGUUACUUUGAAAAAAUUAGAGUGUUUAAAGCAGGCGCACGCUUGAAUACAUUAGCAUGGAAUAAUGAAAUAGGACGUUUGAUUCUAUUUUGUUGGUUUCUAGGAUCGACGUAAUGAUUAAUAGGGAUAGUUGGGGGCAUUAGUAUUCAAUUGUCAGAGGUGAAAUUCUUGGAUUUAUUGAAGACUAACUACUGCGAAAGCAUUUGCCAAGGAUGUUUUCAUUAAUCAAGAACGAAAGUUAGGGGAUCGAAGACGAUCAGAUACCGUCGUAGUCUUAACCAUAAACUAUGACGACUAGGGAUCGGAUGAUGUUAAUUUUUUAAUGACUC
rnacentral:rRNA from 1 species